CAGUCGCCGCGGUAAUACGUAGGUGGCAAGCGUUGUCCGGAAUUAUUGGGCGUAAAGGGCUCGCAGGCGGUUUCUUAAGUCUGAUGUGAAAGCCCCCGGCUCAACCGGGGGGGGUCAUUGGAAACUGGGAAACUUGAGUGCAGAAGAGGAGAGUCGAAUUCCACGUGUAGCGGUGAAAUGCGUAGAGAUGUGGAGGAACACCAGUGGCGAAGGCGACUCUCUGGUCUGUAACUGACGCUGAGGAGCGAAAGCGUGGGGAGCGAACAGGAUUAGAUACCCCGGUAGUCCCUGUCUCUUAUAC
rnacentral:rRNA from 1 species